rnacentral:rRNA from 1 species
UACGAGGGGUGCAAGCGUUGCUCGGAAUUAUUGGGCGUAAAGGGGUGGUAGGUGGUCUUGUUUGUCUAGGGUGAAAUCCCAUGGCUUAACUGUGGAAGUGCCCUAGAAACGGCAAGACUAGAGUCCUAGAGGGGUUUGUGGAAUUCCCGGUGUAGCGGUGAAAUGCGUAGAGAUCGGGAGGAACACCAGCGGCGAAGGCGGCAAACUGGAUAGGCACUGACACUCAACAACGAAAGCGUGGGGAGCAAACAGG